rnacentral:rRNA from 1 species
GACGAACGCUGGCGGCGUGCCUAAUACAUGCAAGUAGGACGCACAGUCUAUACCGUAGCUUGCUACACCAUAGGCUGUGAGUUGCGAACGGGUGAGUAACGCGUAGGUAACCUGCCUAUUAGAGGGGGAUAACUAUUGGAAACGAUAGCUAAUACCGCAUAAUAGUAUGUAACACAUGUUAGAUGCUUGAAAGAUGCAAUUGCAUCGCUAGUAGAUGGACCUGCGUUGUAUUAGCUAGUAGGUAGGGUAAAGGCCUACCUAGGCAACGAUACAUAGCCGACCUGAGAGGGUGAUCGGCCACACUGGGACUGAGACACGGCCCAGACUCCUACGGGAGGCAGCAGUAGGGAAUCUUCGGCAAUGGGGGGAACCCUGACCGAGCAACGCCGCGUGAGUGAAGAAGGUUUUCGGAUCGUAAAGCUCUGUUGUUAAGGAAGAAUGAGUGUGAGAAUGGAAAGUUCAUACUGUGACGGUACUUAACCAGAAAGGGACGGCUAACUACGUG